GUCUUUCUUCACUGGCUCUGCAGGUUCAAUUGCUCCUUCGGUCUUUGUACACAGAAAUCUUCUCCCAGCUAAAGCCUGAAUGAAAGGCUUUCCAUUACAGACAGUCUUUAAUUGAGAUAUUCUACCAUCCGGAUCCCAUACGCCCACUCUGGAGUUGUGAGAACACAUGGGAUAUUAGGAAGCUGAGAGGGAUCAUGCACUCAGAGAGUUCAUGAAGCAGUUAUUCUCAGAGCUGGGGAGGGAGAGAGCACUAUUGUGUUCAGCGCAGUGUGAAACAACCACAAAUAAUGAACAGAGUGUCACAUUAAAGCAGAUGAGAAAUUAA